GCAACGUUAAAAUCAAAUUUUUAAUGCUUUUAUUUUCUUUUAAUGGUUUGAUUCUUUUCUAGCUCUAUAAAUAGGGAGCUCAUUCUCAUUUCAAGACACACCAAAAACCCCAUCUUCUCUCAUUCUCUUCUCUUCUAAGUUUUAUCUUUUCUCUCUUUUCCUUCUCUAAAAAAUAUUCUGGGUUAUUCUUAUACUCUUUUAAGAGUUCCUUGCUAGUUCUGAG
rnacentral:lncRNA from 1 species